UUUUUAAUAAUGCUGGGACUUAUUUCACAUUUCAUUAAAACUAAUAUUACUUGAAUUUGUUUACCUACUUCUUACAAUAUAUAAGUAUGUAAAGAUUAGCAUAGCGCCUCAUUUAGGUGAUGGUAUCCGUUAUUGACGAUACAAAACAUAUUGUUCCCCUAUUUUGCGAUUGUGAAAACUCAGAACCCAUGGGACAGACACUGUAUUCUUUACAAGAAUUUGAUGAUGGGCAAGUGAUUCUAUACAAAUGUUGGUCCUCAUCACCGCCUGAACACACUAUAAAGACACAUUUCAGUUUACUAUCCAGAAAGUGCCAGUGUCGAAAAAAAUUUUGUGAAGCAUAUUUUGAAGAACACUUAAGGACCAUUGUCUCCAAACCAUCUUCUGCUGUUGUCACAACUUCCCCACUGCGGACUACCUGCGUUUUCUCGGAAGUGGAGCCAAUUUCGAAGCAUAUUUUGAAGAACAUUUAAGGACUAUUGUCUCCAAACCAUCCUCUGCCGUUGCCACUACUUCCCCACUGUGGACCACCUGCAUUUCUUCAGAAGUGGACGCAAUUUGGUAUGUAUAACAUGCACGAGUUGUGCUUUUGAAGGUGUAGCGUUUAACAUAUCCAUUUUUGAGUAUCAGAUGAAAGUUUAAGGUCGGACAAUUACAUAUUAUAACUAUGAUAUUAUUUUCUUCAAUAUUAAUUAGCUCUCCUUUAAAGAAACGGAUAUCACGGGCAUGAUCUAAAAAAUAGAAGAACAUUCGGGAAAAUGCCACGUGUACCUAUUUACGACAUUCAAAAAACGUGACUAUAGUGCUCAUAACACUGUAUAAAUACAAAAAGUGGGUGGCAUCUCUCCGUAUUCUACCCUAGCAUGAAAACUCAACUGUCUGAAUUGGGAUGUUUAAAGGAGUGUGCUAGGUACUAUGAGUACAGUCCCGUUUUCCGGGAUGAGGGAAUAACACCAUGGACGAAUACUGGAAGCGCCCGGAGUGCCACAAAGGACGACAGCAUCGCAGCUAGGAAGAUCGUGCCCGAAGUAAUGAUGAUUUUCACCUGGACGACGACAACAACAACGCGGACAAUCACGAGGACGACUUAGGACGACGUCUGUCCCAGCAACGUUUUACCCACACCCUCGACUUACUACUGUCAUCUUUGGUAGAGCUUGUUCUAAAAAUGAAGCAUAUUUUGAAGAACAUUUAAGGACCAUUGUCUCCAAACCAUCCUCUGCUGUUGCCACUACUUCCCCAUUGUGGACUAGCUGCAUUUUUUCGGAAGUGGACGCAAUUUCGUAUGUAUAACAUGUAUGAGUUUUGCUUGUGAAGGUGUAGCGUUUAACAUAUUUAGUUUUGAGUAUCAGAUGAAAGUUCAAGGUCGGACAAUUACAUGUUAUAACUAUGAUAUUAUUUUCUUUAAUAUCAAUCAGGUCUCCUUCAAAGAAACGGAUAUCGCGAGCAGCAUCUGAAAAAUAGAAGAACAUCCCAAAUUGUGUUACAGCUUUACAGAAGACGUGAAAAAAUGUUGAAGCAGUGAAUUCGUAAUGACUUAAGAAUUUUCUGUGCGGUUAGUUUGAAAAUUACAGUACAAAGUAUUUGGGACUUUGAGAGUAGUAGGUAACGGAAAUUUUACACUGCUUAGAGAGCUCGCACUUCCUCCAGUUUAUUCUCUUUGAAAUGUCAUUUGAAGGAGAGAAUCUACAUUUAGUAUGAAGUUCCAGUCGAGUAAAUAGAGUAAACUUCGAGAAGACGCCAUAGUGGAAGAGUACCUUGUAUCUCCGAAAUAGGGAGAACUACCACACAAGGUAAAUAAAGUUUGUGUGUAUUUCCAACAUUCAGCAAACGUGACUAUUACUCAUAACUCAUUACUCUGUUCCACGUAUAACUUCUAGCUCUUCGAAAUUUCCACCCUGGAUUACUUCUGAGAUUAAGCAGAAUAUAAAAACACUGUUACAGGCGUAAAUGGUUUAAAUUUAAGAAUUCUAAAUUCUAUAUCGAAUUCAAACGAUUAAGAGCUAUUGUUAAAAAACAAAUGGAUAAUGCCUACCAACUGUAUCUAAAUCAUGUCCAGAGCAAAAUCAAAUCUGAUCCUUCAUCUUUAUGGAGCUUUCUACAUUUGAAAAAUGGCACUUCUAGAAUACCGGGUCAGUUAAGAGACAAUAAUGGAAAUAUAUUUUCGGAACCUCAGGAUAUUGAGGAUGCAUUUGCUACUACCUUUGCCAAUGUAUUUACUGUUAACAACUCUACGCACAUAGAGUCUACUUCUAUUUCUUCAAAUUCUUUCUCAAUGUCUUCCGUCAGCAUAGAGGAUUUAAUUCUGAUCAUGUCAAAUUUAUCCAACAAGCAAACAUGUGGUGAUGACUUAGUCUCUAAUUUUUUGAUACGUGAUUGUAGAUAUGCACUUGUCCAACCUUUGUCUAUCAUAAUUAACCAGGCACUUAAAACAAGUACAUUCCCGGACCUUUCGAAAAUUGCAAGAAUCAGUCCUACUUUUAAAAAGGGUGAUCCAUCUUUACUAGCGAAGUAUCGUCCUAUUUCCAUUCUAAGCAAUUUUGCCAAAGUUUUUGAACAGGCAUUAUAUAGUUGUACAAUAAUACUCGUUCGCAUAUCAGUUUAGGACAGCAUGGAUUCAGAACUGGUAGAUCUACAUCUACAAACCUUGCAGUGCUUGUUCAAGAUCUAAGUGUUGCACUUGAUAAACGAGAACAAAUAGACGUAAUAUAUACUGACUUUUCCCGAGCUUUCGAUGUUCUUCCUCACGACAUUCUGUUAGGCAAACUUAAUAACUUUGGAUUUAACUAUCCCCUUCUCAAACUGAUGGAGUCUUACUUAAUAAACCGUAACAACUAUGUAUUUUACAAUGGUUUUACCUCUUUUCGUUUUUUGUCAAGGUCUGGAGUCCCACAAGGCUCUAACCUUGGGCCUCUCCUCUUCAGUCUAUUUAUCAAUGACCUUUUGGAAUCUUUAAACUGCAGUAUUUUAGCUUAUGCUGAUGAUCUUAAAAUUUAUUCUAAAAUCUCAAGUCUUUAUGAUGCUGAGCUUUUACAACGUGAACUUAUGAAAAUCGUGGAAUGAUGCAAUCAAAAUAGACUUAUUAUUAAUAUUAGUAAAUGUUGCUACAUUUCAUAUUGUCGAAAACUUAAUAUCGUUGAUUUUUCUUAUUCAAUAGAAGGUACACCGUUAGAACGAAAAACAUCGAUCAAAGAUCUAGGAGUUACUUUCGAUAGCUGCUUGACUUUUGAUAUUCAUGUUACCAACAUUUGCAGUGCUGCAAAUAAAUCUUUGGGGUUUGUCAUGAGAACUUCAAAAUUUUUCAACAACAUUGACGUAAUUAAAUCCUUUUUCUUUGCAUAUGUUCUUUCGAAAUUAGAGUAUGCCUCACUAAUAUGGUAUCCCAUAUAUAUGUGUCAGCACAUGCUUCUUGAUAAAGUGCACAGGAAAUUUUUGAAAUUCCUUUCGUUCAAAAUUGAUGGUAAUUAUCCGGCCAGAGGUAUUGAGAUGGAAAGUCUUCUCCAACGACACAAGAUGUCCUCUUUGAUGAUUCGAAGGGAUCUACAUGCGGCUAACUUCUUGUAUUUAAUGUCCCUCGGCCAGCAUCGAGAUAUGUUAACACCUUUCAUGUCUCCACCGCCCGAACUAAUAUCCUUCGUCGUUCGCCAAUUACUACAAUGUGUCGAUGUGCAGAUAGAUAUGUAACUGAUAUAUUUUAUUCAAAUUAGUUUAUACUUGGAAUUAUGUUUUUGUUAUUGUUAUAAUUUUUGUGUUGGUUAUUCAUGUAAGUAAUUAUUUAGAUUUGUCCUGUCAUUAGGGUAACCUGUUGGACAAUAAAAUUAUUAUUAUUAUUAUUAUUAUUAUAACAGUGAAGGACAUGUCUCUCCGUAGUUUACCCGAAAAUGAAAACUCAACUGUCUGAACUGAGAUGUUUAUAACAACGUGAAUUUGCUAGGUACUACGAGUACAAAAGCGUUUUCCGGGUAACCUAGUCAGAUGGAAUUGUAGCUGUCCCAAAACGUCAUGAAGGGUAGUGCUCCAAGUGGCAGGGAAAAACAGGUUGAAGCCUGAAUCGCGCUCUGGUAAUGGUUGAGUACUCACACAACAAAUUUUCUUGCGUAUCUAUUUUUUC